AGAAAGAUGGCCGAGUGGUUCAAGGCAUAGCAUUGAAACUGCUACAUAAGCUUAUGUUUACAAGGGUUUAAAUCCCUCUUUUUCCA
rnacentral:tRNA from 1 species